AUUAAACAAAAUGAAAGACCUGUUUGACAACUGCUAACUUCACACUUACAGAAUUUAGAGAAUUUUAUGAGGAGAAAUGUUCAAUCUUCCUUGUAAGCAGAGAAUAUUAUAAAAGUAAAAGAUUAAUGUAUGAUAAUACACCUGUCACCGGUAGCAAAAUAUAAGUUAGUAAUUUUGAACAAUGGACACUAUAUCUAAAUCUAAGUCUAAUCCUCCUGAUGACUCUUCCUCUAAAAAGAAACACAAGAAAGAGCAUAAACAUAAGCACAAAAAGCAUACUUUGGAGAAGAAUGAAAAAGUUAAGACUAAAAAGCAUAAGAAACACAAGAAACCUAAACACAAGGAUGCAGAUACACCAGAUGAUACAAGUGGAAGGUAUACUCCAGUUCCAAAGAGUAAUGGUAAUGGGGUCGUUGUCAAUGGCUCUACAGAUCCUGAUACAGUUUCUGAGGCAUUAAUAUCAGGUUUAGUUGCGGAAAAAUCCCAAGAAGUAGUGUCAUCAGAAAGCGAAGGCGUUGCAGAAGCAGAUUGCGAUAGUGUAGACAUCGACAUGAACGUUAUUGAGGCUGAUAUGGAUCUGGAAGAAUUAAUGAAGCAAAAGGAGCUGCUCCAAGCUCAGCUUGCAAAAGCGGAAGGAACUUUAAAUGAUGAUAUUAAAGAGAAAGAAGGCGAGGUGAUAUUGUUAGAGGAUUCAGAUGACCAGGAACUAAUUGCUCCGAAGAGAAAAAGGUCUAGAAGCAGAGACAGAAAAACUGAAGUUAGAAAUAAGGAUGAUUCAAGGAAAAAGUGUAAUAGGACAAGAGAUUUUUAUCCUUAUAGAGAACAAGAAAGGAGAGAUAGAUACCCCCGAGAUCAAGACCGUUUCAGAAGCAGACACGAAAGAGAGCGUUCACGCGAGAGAUCAUCACAUUAUAAUGAUUCAUUGCGGCAUAGAUCCCGGGAAAGAUCUAGGGAGAGACGAUUUAAAGACUCGCGCAAUUAUAGCCAUAAAGAUAGGCACAGAAACGAUGGAGACUAUAAUAAAAGACACAGAGACUCUGGUAAGUCAAGGAGUGAAAAACAUGAUAAGUAUAAGGACUCGUUGAGCGAAGGUCAGAAGCGCCAAGAAAGUACUGAUAGUAGUGAUGUCGAGGUUGAUAUAGAUUUGAAAGAGGAUGAAGAUGAAGAGACUAUUAUUGAGAGAAGGAGGAAGCAGAGGGAAGAAUUACUCAAGCGUCUUGGAGCCGACGAUCCAAGCUCAGCCAUGUCAAGAUCUCAAUCUCCUGAAGUCCAAAUCGUUGAACAAAAUCAAGCUGCCGUUCCAGAGGUUCCUAAAACAGAAACGACACAGGAGCAAAUACCAGACACACCCAAACUGCAAUCAGAAGUUGAAAAAGAAGAUGAAGAAUCGCUGACUCCACCACUUCUGCCUAACAUGAAAACAGUUGCUCUAACUGUUGAUAAAAAGGUUGACAAAAAGAGAGCCGAUUGGGAUAUGUUCGCAGAACAGGACAUAUUUAAAGUCAACACUGCCUCACCAAGCACAAUUACUACUAAGGGCUCGGCUGCCGAAAAUCCAGCUCUUACAGACAAUUGGGACGAUGCAGAAGGGUAUUAUAGAGUUCGCAUUGGAGAAAUAUUAGACUCCAGAUACAUGGUGUACGGGUAUACAGGUCAAGGUGUAUUCAGUAAUGUUGUUAGAGCACGAGAUCAAGCUCGUGGUAAUCAGGAUGUAGCUGUGAAGAUUAUUCGAAACAAUGAAAUAAUGCACAAAACCGGCUUAAAGGAGUUGGAAAUACUGAAAAAGCUCAAUGACGCCGAUCCAGAAGACAAGCUUCACUGUCUUCGACUUAUACGACAUUUUUUCCACAAGCAGCAUCUGUGUAUGGUUUUCGAACCUUUGGCGAUGAAUCUUCGAGAGGUUUUGAAGAAAUAUGGAAAAGAUGUGGGUCUGCACGUGAAGGCAGUUCGAAGUUAUACUCAACAGUUGUUGCUUGCAUUGAAAUUACUGAAAAAGUCUGGCAUAUUACACGCAGAUAUCAAACCCGAUAACAUUCUCGUCAACGAAAGUAAACACCUUCUUAAACUCUGCGAUUUUGGUUCGGGGUCAAAGAUAAACGAAAACGAAAUAACCCCCUAUUUGGUGUCGAGAUUUUACCGAGCCCCCGAAAUCAUCCUCGGCAUGACGUACGACUACGGCAUCGACAUGUGGUCCGCGGCCUGCACCAUCUACGAAUUAUAUACGGGGCGAAUAAUGUUUUCCGGCAAGUCUAACAACCAGAUGCUGAAGUUUUUCAUGGACGUUAAAGGGAAAUUUCCGAAUAAGGUGAUACGAAAAGGGGCAUUUAAGGAUCAACAUUUCGAUUCGAAUUAUAAUUUUUUGUAUCAAGAGAUCGAUAAGGUCACUGAACGGGAAAAGGUCGUAGUUAUGUCUGUGGUAAAAGUGUCACGUGACUUACAUUCGGAACUUAUAGCUGGCCAGAGCUUACCUACAGAACAACUACGCAAAGUAACCCAGCUCAAGGACCUUCUGGAAAAAGCACUGGCGAUCGAUCCCGCCAAGAGGAUAAGCCUGAACAAUGCAUUGACUCACCCAUUCAUCCAAGACAAGAUCUAGAAAAGGUUUAGAGAGAAUGUUGAUAGAGGAAACCAGACAUAUCGCUACGAGCAGAUGGUUUGAAACUUUUCAAAGAAAGUGAAAACUGAAUCAUACAAACAAUUGAAUUGAAUUAUGAACAAAAGAAUUGGUUAUGACAUGCAUUUAAAAGUUAGCUGCAUGAAAGACUGGGAAAAAGAGGCUAAGUAUUCUACCGUUUAUUAGAUCACAUUCUAAUCAUUUUUAUUUUUAUUUUAGUUUGAAUUAUCUAAUAGUAUAAAUUGAGAAGAAGUUUAAGCUAAAGACAAGAGACAACAGAUGGAGCAGCUAAUUUGGAAUAGUACAGAUUGAUACAAGGCAAUUUAAAGUACUAGUGUGUCGUAUUGGUAUGAAUUAAAACAGUUCUUAUAAUAUGUUAACAUAAUAAAAAGUUUAUUAUGUU